rnacentral:lncRNA from 1 species
UACUUGCGACUAAUGCAUGGGCCAGGCUAUCUUAGUACUUAGUUAAGUAGGAUCAACUGCCCUGCCAUUCUUGCUGCAUUAAAUCGUAGGUGGCAAUAGAGCCAAGUGAUUAGGCCCAACUUAGAAUUAUCCUUAGCAUCGAUAAACCCUAGAUGAUAAACCCAACAUAGGUGGCAAUAGAGCCAAGUGAUUAGGCCCAACCUAGGGUGCCUCGGCAUCGAUAAACCCUAAAUGAUGAAAACUUAACUUGGCUGCCCCGGAUGCCUCGGUGUCGAUGAGAACCUAAAUGAUGAAAGCUUAGGCUUUUAGGGUGCCUCGGUGUCGACAAACCCUAAAUCAUGAGACCAUGAUCUUGUUCCUUGACAAUAACCAUCUUUUUGACCAAACUUUUUUCCUAUUUAGAGAGAAACAUGGCCCACAACGAUGAGGCCGGUGGUUCGGGCGGCAAGCAAUUCUGGGAGCUGUCCCAAGAGAUGGAGGAACAACCUCACCGCUAUGAUGACGCCGCGGAAGACACCGAUCCUGAUUACACAACCCCUAGUGGCGUCGGGGAUGACACCACUGAUGGUGCCGCCGAGGAUGCCACCACUGAUGAUGGCGGCG